GACAGAGACUUCCACAUUCACAACUACUGCUGAAAUAUCCACUACUAGUGUAGCAGAAUCAUCUACAACAGUGGAGCCAGUAUAUGAAGUGAAUAUUAAGCUGGAAUUCCGCUCUAAAGAUUCUUUCAUAGAUGACCUCAAUGAUCGACAGUCUCCUGCUUUCAAAAACAGGGCUAUGCUUGUUCAGGAUAUUCUUACACUUAUUUUCAAGAAUUUCCAUUCCUUCCUUAGAGUCACUGUGCUACUAUUCAGCAAGGGAUCGGUCAUUACCACAUCAGAACUUGCUUUCAACUCUACACAGACUGUGCCAUCAGAACUCCAAAUUGCAGAAGAAUUACUGAGUGAUGAUACAACUAUCAAUGCCCUGAACAUAACUUCAUUUUCAGUUAAUAAUACAGGU